UACGGAGGAUCCGAGCGUUAUCCGGAUUUAUUGGGUUUAAAGGGUGCGCAGGCGGGAGAUUAAGUCGGUGGUGAAAUUUUGCAGCUCAACUGUAAAAGUGCCAUUGAUACUGGUUUUCUUGAGUGUGGAUGAAGUAGGCGGAAUUUGUGGUGUAGCGGUGAAAGGCAUAGAUAUCACGAGGAACUCCGAUUGCGCAGGCAGCUUACUAAACUACUACUGACGCUCAGGCACGAAGGCGUGGGCAGCAAACAGGAUUAGAUA
rnacentral:rRNA from 1 species